GCACCAAACUACUAUGUAUUUUAUCAGUUGGUGGUGUGACAUUUUUCCAUUGACAACUCACGUUUAGACACAUUAUGUUACAAAUAAAAGUCAAAUUUCAUUCAAUAUGUGCGUGUAAUUUUUUUUAUAAUGAAGUGUUCCAAGUGCGCUAAAAAGUGCCCUUUUCCCCCCUGAGCACUUGCCCCCCAAAAUGUCUGUGCACGCCACUGACUUAUUUAUACGAGGGGAUCUGUCCUCCUCAACUUAUAAAUGAAUGUUAAAAACUUAGGUCUUAUAUAUUUAGGUGAAUAUCCGUAUCAGCAAAGGAAGCAUUUAGGAAAUUACUAGUAAGAGUUAAUGUAAACUUCAGUGUAGUCAGUAGUGGAGAGUAAGCCACUAGUCCGAGGCAGGUGGCAAAAACGACAGCUGACCUGCAGUGGGUGAUGUGAAAGACUGAGACUUUGAACUGCUGCUGAUUCAGCAUUGCCAAAUAGCCAGCACAAAGCACAGCAACUCAGUUCCAAUACAUCAGAUAACAGUAGCCUUGUGCUGAUCGAAAUACAUUUUGGAGUUAUGAGGGAAACCCUCCAAAAGCUAACCUAAUCAAGACUGUGUCUCAGCCCUGAAUAUUUUAAGGAAAUUGGAAUUUUACAGAGUUGGGGAGCUUUAUGACAAUAUGUACUUCAGAAUUGGGGAGAUUAAAGAGCAAAGGAUGGGUCAGUGUAGUAUUCGGGCACAGACACAGAUGAGCAAGCAGAGUUGUAGGGUAUACUGGAGGUCAGGUCUGGAGCGGAGUAGAGUUUAAAACAUUACCAAUUAAAAACUGCAGGCUGUGUAGACCAGCACUGAACAACACACACUCUGUUUUUCUGUUUGAACAGAUCUGUUUAAAAUAGACUAUUAUUCGUUCUAUAAAACCACAUUCAGUUACAUUAGCUUGCUAGUACUUAUAUUAUGCAAUUAUGCUUUUUUAUUCUCUCUCUUUCUCCCUCUUCCACUUUCUUUCAGGCCGCUGCCCCUCGACCCCAGCCUGGGGUGAAAGGCUCAGGAGGAUCUGUUGCAGAGUUACUGACUGUCCACCUGUCUGACCCGAUACCGAUGGAUGUUGGACCCCCAGGCUCUCAUGUCCUCUGUCCGGCCAGACUGAUGAAAGUUCUGAAGUCAGCUCUUUUCCAUCACCCACCACAGAUCAGCUCCUCAUCAUCCAUCUUACUCUCCACUACUGAUUACAUCCAAGCUUACAUGUACUCUAACUGCUUCCAUUAGUGGCACUGCUAUACUCUCUCCUGUGUGGAUGUAUAAAGACUUUUUAAAAUUAAUUUAAAAGCUGUUUGACCAGUGGUAGGAUGCCCCCCCUUGUAUUCUGUAUUUUCUAUGUUUUUUAUGUUUUGCCUGAUUCUUUUUCCUGUGAUCAUGUUUCUAUAAAGCUGCUUUGUGACACCAGUUGUAAAAAGUUGAUUUGAUUUAUUUUUAUUUACAUUAAUAAUUUACUUUAUUUUAUUUACAUGACAUAAUUAUUCUAAUGUACAAACCAGAAGAAUGUGGGGUCAGCUUAGUUUAUUCCUUGAUUUUAUUGAAUUUAUCUAACAGAGAAUAUGAGCUAGAGCAGUAGAGAUGUAGAGGUAUUCUCUAAUAGAGAUGAUAAUGUGUCUCUGAUACCGUAUAAUUCACUACAGUUAGAUCUAGAAUAUGGACUGUAGUAUAGAGCUUAGGUGUGUUAUGUUGUAUCAUACAUAAUAAUAAUAAUAACAAAAACAUUGUGUGAUAAUAGCAGUAUUCUGUAUUAAAAGUGCAUUAAUUAGUCUAUUCUGUAUUAGUUUAGUUUUUUAUUGUG
ensembl:lncRNA